rnacentral:lncRNA from 1 species
CAUCCCUGGUGCUGGAGCUGCUGCGGGAUGUCCAAGGCAUGGGAGAUCCUUGGAGUUGAGGAGCUCCUGAAGGUGCAGGAGACUCCAGGGGGACUCAGGGGGCCGCGGUGGGCGCCGGGGGCACCCAUGGGUGCUGCCGGGGCUCCCGCAGUACCACACGUACCUGGUGCUGGAGCUGCUGCAGGGCGGCCAGGACAUGGGGGAUCCCUGGAGUUGAGGAGGCCCCGAAGGUGCAGGAGAUGCCAGAGGGACCUAAUGGUUCUGGGGAGUUCCCAGGAGUGCUGGUGGGCUCCUAGGGGUGCUGGUGGGCUCCUAGGGGUUCUAGUGGCACCCAUGGGUGCUGGUGGGCUUGCAGCACCACCCAUCCCUGGUGCUGGAGCUGCUGCGGGAUGUCCAAGGCACAGGGGAUCCUUGGAGUUGAGGAGCUCCUGAAGGUGCAGGAGAUGCCAGAAGGACCUGAUGGUUCUGGGGAGGUCCCAUGGGUGCUGGUGGGCUCCUAGGGGUUCUAGUAGCACCCAUGGGUGCUCCUGGGUGUGCAGCACCACCCAUCCCUGGUGCUGGAGCUGCUGCAGGAUGUCUGGGUCAUGGGGGAUCCCUGGAGUUGAGGAGCUCCUGAAGGUGCAGGAAGUGUCAUGGGAACCCGAGAGUUCUGGGGAGAUCCCAUGGGUGCUGGUGGGCUCCUAGGGGUUCUGGUGGCACCCAUGGGUGCUCCUGGGCGUGCAGCACCGUCCAUCCCUGGUGCUGGAGCUGCUGCGGGGCGGCUGGGACAUGGGAGAUCCUUGGAGUUGAGGAGCUCCUGAAGGUGCAGGAGACUCCAGGGGGAUCCGCGGGCUCCGGGGGGCCGCGGUGGGCGCCGGGGGCACCCAUGGGUGCUGCCGGGGCUCCCGCAGUACCACACGUACCUGGUGCUGGAGCUGCUGCGGGGCGGCGAGCUGCUGGAGCGCAUCCGGCGCAAGCGGCACUUCGGCGAGGCCGAGGCGGCGCACAUCAUGGGCAGCCUCGUCUCCGCCGUCGCCUUCAUGCACGAGGCCGGCGUGGUGCACCGCGACCUCAAGCCCGAGAACAUCCUCUUCGCCGACGAGUCGGAGGCGGCGCCCGUGAAGGUGAUCGACUUCGGCUUCGCCCGCCUGCGCCCGCCGCCCUCGCAGCCCAUGCGCACGCCCUGCUGCACCCUGCCCUACGCCGCCCCCGAGCUGCUGGGUGCUGCCGGCUACGACGAGGCCUGCGACCUCUGGAGCCUCGGCGUCGUCCUCGUGGGUGCUGCCGGCAGGGGUUUGGGGUGC